UACGUAGGGGGCAAGCGUUGUCCGGAAUCAUUGGGCGUAAAGGGCGCGUAGGCGGGUAAUUAAGUCUGGUGUGAAAGGCAGAGGCUCAACCUCUGGAUUGCACCGGAAACUGGUUAUCUUGAGGACAGGAGAGGAAAGCGGAAUUCCACGUGUAGCGGUGAAAUGCGUAGAUAUGUGGAGGAACACCAGUGGCGAAGGCGGCUUUCUGGACUGUAACUGACGCUGAGGCGCGAAAGCGUGGGGAGCAAACAGG
rnacentral:rRNA from 1 species